AUAUUGGACAAUGGGCGAAAGCCUGAUCCAGCCAUGCCGCGUGUGUGAAGAAGGUCUGCGGAUUGUAAAGCACUUUAAGUUGGGAGGAAGGGUUGUAGGCUAAUACGCCGCAAUUAUGACGUUACCAACAGAAUAAGCACCGGCUAACUUCGUGCCAGCAGCCGCGGUAAUACGAAGGGUGCAAGCGUUAAUCGGAAUUAAUGGGCGUAAAGCGCGCGUAGUUGGUUCGUUAAGUUGGAAGUGAAAGCCCCGGGCUUAACCUGGGAAUUGCUUUCAAAACUGACGAGCUAGAGUACGGUAGAGGGUAGUGGAAUUGCCUGUGUAGCGGUGGAAUGCGUAGAUAUAGGAAGGAACAUCAGUGGCGAAGGCGACUACCUGGACUGAUACUGACACUGAGGUGCGAAAGCGUGGGGAGCAAACAGG
rnacentral:rRNA from 1 species